ACAUGCUAAAAACCCCGACUUCGGAAGGGGUGUAUUUAUUAGAUAAAAAACCAAUGCCCUCUGGGCUCUUUGGUGAUUCAUAAUAACUUAACGAAUCGCAUGGCCUUGCGCCGGCGAUGGUUCAUUCAAAUUUCUGCCCUAUCAACUUUCGAUUGUAAGAUAGAGGCUUACAAUGGUAUUAACGGGUAACGGGGAAUUAGGGUUCUAUUCCGGAGAGGGAGCCUGAGAAACGGCUACCACAUCCAAGGAAGGCAGCAGGCGCGCAAAUUACCCAAUGCUAAUUCAGCGAGGUAGUGACAAUAAAUACUGAUACGGGGCUCUUUCGGGUCUCGUAAUUGGAAUGAGUACAAUCUAAAUCCCUUAACGAGGAACAAUUGGAGGGCAAGUCUGGUGCCAGCAGCCGCGGUAAUUCCAGCUCCAAUAGCGUAUAUUAAAGUUGUUGCCGUUAAAAAGCUCGUAGUUGAACCUUGGACCUGGCUGAUCUGUCCUCCUAAUCGAGCGCACGGAUUCGGUCGGGUCUUUCCUUCUGGGGAGCCCUAUGCCCUUCACUGGGUGUAGUGGGGAACCAGGACUUUUACCUUGAAAAAAUUAGAGUGUUCAAAGCAGGCCUUUGCUCGAAUACAUUAGCAUGGAAUAAUAGAAUAGGACAUCGGUUCUAUUUUGUUGGUUUCUAGGACCGCUGUAAUGAUUAAUAGGGAUAGUCGGGGGCGUCAGUAUUCAAUUGUCAGAGGUGAAAUUCUUGGAUUUAUUGAAGACUAACUACUGCGAAAGCAUUCGCCAAGGAUGUUUUCAUUAAUCAGUGAACGAAAGUUAGGGGAUCGAAGACGAUCAGAUACCGUCGUAGUCUUAACCAUAAACUAUGCCGACUAGGGAUCGGACGGUGGUUUUUUUAUGCCCCGUUCGGCACCUUACGAGAAAUCAAAGUUUUUGGGCUCGGGGGGGAGUAUGGUCGCAAGGCUGAAACUUAAAGAAAUUGACGGAAGGGCACCACCAGGCGUGGAGCCUGCGGCUUAAUUUGACCCAACACGGGGAAACUCACCAGGUCCAGACAUGCUUAGGAUUGACAGAUUGAUAGCUCUUUCUUGAUUGUAUGGGUGGUGGUGCAUGGCCGUUCUUAGUUGGUGGAGUGAUUUGUCUGCUUAAUUGCGAUAACGAACGAGACCUUGACCUGCUAAAUAGCCAGGUUGACUUUUGUCGGCCGCCGGCUUCUUAGAGGGACUUUUGGCUCAAGCCAAUGGCAA
rnacentral:rRNA from 1 species